AACUUUGAGCGGUAGAUCACUCGCCUCGUGCGUCGAUGAAGAGUGCAGCCAACUGUGUGAAUUAAUAUGAGCUGUGCAUACUGUUUUGAACAUCGACAUCAUGUAGUCAUAUUGUGGCUACAGGAUAUCCUGUGGCCACGUCUAUCCGAAGGUCG
rnacentral:rRNA from 1 species